rnacentral:rRNA from 1 species
CUAGCCGUAAACGAUGGAUACUAGGUGUAAGAGGUAUCGACCCCUCUUGUGCCGUAGCUAACGCAUUAAGUAUCCCGCCUGGGGAGUACGGCCGCAAGGUUGAAACUCAAAGGAAUUGAC